rfam:Xenopus laevis strain J chromosome 9_10L, whole genome shotgun sequence.
GGCUCUGUGGCGCAAUGGAUAGCGCAUUGGACUUCUAGGUGUAUGAGGACAUGCAAAGGUUGUGGGUUCGAAUCCCACCAGAGUUG